CUAUUUUCGGGAUUCAUCAAUGUAGUUUUGAAGAAUUUUUUCUCCUCUGUCGUUCCCUUACAAAUUUUUCAAGUCAAAGUAUAUAGAAAUUAAAAAUCAAAAACAGUAAUCACAAAAUCAAUUUCCCAAUUCUCCGUUGAGUAUGCAGCGUUGCCUAAUUUCGCCUCUAGGGUGAUCCUUUUAACUCGCCGAUUUGUCAUGCUCUUCAAUUAUUCAAUGAAGAACAUAUGUCCUGGUUCUUCGAUUAUUCAAUUUGGUUGUGUUACUAAUUUAUGUUUUGUUUUAAAAUCCCUGAUUUGCAAUCCUCCGUUCACUCAUCCCCGCCAGUCAUCGUUUUAGAGAUUCCACACCUGACACCUUUACCAUCGCUUGUCGUGCUCGCUCUUGAAUCUCCUUACCAUUGUUGUUGUCACGCUCUUUGAUCUCCUCUUUUAGGCUGAAAGUUUCAGCAUCAUGUCGUUAUUAUCAGGCCAUGGAUAUGAGACAAUGGUGAAAGUAUGGAGACUGUGAACGUCUUCUUACCAAGGGCUUCUUCAUCUUCAAUGGUCCGUAGUUGGCGUGUGGAGCCACGGCCCCUCUAUUCAACAUUGUCACCACUCACCACCGCUUCAACCUCAUCGUAGGUUAGUCAUUUUGUUCUUGUCUCUUAAUGUCUAUGCAUGCAGCGAUCAUUUGUUUCUAGAAGUAGUACUUCUGUUGAUUUCCUUAUUGUUUUUUUUUUUAUAUGCUUCUAUCGACUUUGUUGAUUACACACUCUCCUACUUAAUAUCAUUCUAGAUUUAUGGGGUUCUAUGGGCAAUCAAUCAUAGAUUUGUUUGACCCUUAGAAAUAUCUGAAUCUUUUUCCCAGUUCCCAAAACAUAGAUUUGUUAAUGACUAUUUUUGAGAUUUGUUCCAUUAUUGUAAAUACGUUGGGUUUACUAGACCUAUAGUUUAAUAAUACAAUUGUGGUUUUUGGGGAUGAGAUGGUUGUUUUGUAUGUUUCAUUUGAGGGGUGUGAGAUGUUGAGCCUAAAGCCAUGGAUAUGGGAGAACCGGAGAAAUAACUGAUAAAUAGUUUAUGGUAUCGCAAUUAGGAAAUACAUGGGUGCAAUACUUCUCUUUUCAUUACUUCUAUAAGUAAAGGAACUUAAUCUAAAUUCGAUCCGAAUUGUGUACAAAGUGGAAUUUUUUAGUGUGAGUACAUUACACUGUCCAAUUUUCUCAUGUAUGAGUUUGCUGCACUAUCUUAUUUGUGGAUGUUGACUCUAUUUUCUUGGUUUUUUGUACGGUCAAAUGCCAAUUUUACACUUUAAGUGUGCGGCUUUGGUCCUUAGCUACUUGUCUAUUAUCAUAUACACGGGUUUAUUAUUUGCUUUGCUUACUGAUGUAGCGUCAUCUAUGAUACAUGGGCUUUUAUUUUGGGCUUUUAAUUAGUAUAUACGUUUAUGUUUUUAGAUUAGGGUUUUCGUUUAUGAAAGCCUUAUAUAAGGCUUAGAUUAUGUGUUAAGAGGGGCAGCUUUGGAUUAUUGAAUAAAUUGAGUUUUUAAGAGAGCUUUGUGUAAAGCCUAGAGAGGAGGACUCUUAACCCUAAGAGCUUGUGUUCAAGCCCUGCAAGGAGGACUUGCAAAACCACGUCGAUAUCGCUACCGAUCUCGACCCUAUCUUUAUUGCUUCUUCGUCAAGUUUCGACGUUCUAAGCAAGAUCCGUUCGUGAAUCCGACUUCUCUUAGAGAUCUUGUAUUCUCGUCCGUUAUUUAGCUUCCGCUCUCUAUCAGUUGGUAUCAUAUGUUCAACGAUUUAAGAUUCGGGUCGAAUCUUUCUAACCCGGAGGGACUGAUGCAGCGCAUCUUCAAGAUCGAACGUCGCAAGAUUCGAGGAUGAAUCUUCUCUAACCCGAGGAGACUGAUGCAGCGUCAUCUAUGAUACAUGGGCUUUUAUUUUGGGCUUUUAAUUAGUAUAUACGUUUAUGUUUUUAGAUUAGGGUUUUCGUUUAUGAACGCCUUAUAUAAGGCUUAGAUUAUGCGUUAAGAGGGGCAGCUUUGGAUUAUUGAAUAAAUUGAGUUUUUUAAGAGAGCUUUGUGUAAAGCCUAGAGAGGAGGACUCUCAACCCUAAGAGUUUGUGUUCAAGCCCUGCAAGGAGGACUUGCAAAACCACGUCGAUAUCGCUACCGAUCUCGACCCUAUCUUUAUUGCUUCUUCGUCAAGUUUCGACGUUCUAAGCAAGAUCCGUUCGUGAAUCCGACUUCUCUUAGAGAUCUUGUAUUCUCGUCCGUUAUUUAGCUUCCGCUCUCUAUCACUUACUUUGGUAAUGGUAGAAUCCUUUUUUUAAAAGCUGAUAAAUUUACAGAGUGUUGUUAAUGAUUCUGUUUGAGAAGUUAUGUACAUAAUUGAGUGUGUUGAGUUCAGUGAUAAUUGAGUUUAGUCUUAUGUUAUUCUAUAUAACAUAUUAUUGUGUUGUAAAAUCAAUCGGUAGUUGUUAACCGUGACUUUGUUAAGACACAAGGGUGUAUGGGUAAGAGUUGUGACUUGUUGGAUAAGACACAACUGUUACGACCGUAAGACAGCUAUAUAAGUACGUGUGUUAUUGUACAAAAUUGUCGAAGUAAAUAAAAACAGUUUCUCUC